rnacentral:rRNA from 1 species
GAUGAACGCUGGCGGCGUGCCUAAUACAUGCAAGUCGAGCGAACGGACGAGAAGCUUGCUUCUCUGAUGUUAGCGGCGGACGGGUGAGUAACACGUGGAUAACCUACCUAUAAGACUGGGAUAACUUCGGGAAACCGGAGCUAAUACCGGAUAAUAUUUUGAACCGCAUGGUUCAAAAGUGAAAGACGGUCUUGCUGUCACUUAUAGAUGGAUCCGCGCUGCAUUAGCUAGUUGGUAAGGUAACGGCUUACCAAGGCAACGAUGCAUAGCCGACCUGAGAGGGUGAUCGGCCACACUGGAACUGAGACACGGUCCAGACUCCUACGGGAGGCGGCAGUAGGGAAUCUUCCGCAAUGGGCGAAAGCCUGACGGAGCCACGCCGCGUGAGUGAUGAAGGUCUUCGGAUCGUAAAACUCUGUUAUUAGGGAAGAACAUAUGUGUAAGUAACUAUGCACGUCUUGACGGUACCUAAUCAGAAAGCCACGGCUAACUACGUGCCAGCAGCCGCGGUAAUACGUAGGUGGCAAGCGUUAUCCGGAAUUAUUGGGCGUAAAGCGCGCGUAGGCGGUUUUUUAAGUCUGAUGUGAAAGCCCACGGCUCAACCGUGGAGGGUCAUUGGAAACUGGAAAACUUGAGUGCAGAAGAGGAAAGUGGAAUUCCAUGUGUAGCGGUGAAAUGCGCAGAGAUAUGGAGGAACACCAGUGGCGAAGGCGACUUUCUGGUCUGUAACUGACGCUGAUGUGCGAAAGCGUGGGGAUCAAACAGGAUUAGAUACCCUGGUAGUCCACGCCGUAAACGAUGAGUGCUAAGUGUUAGGGGGUUUCCGCCCCUUAGUGCUGCAGCUAACGCAUUAAGCACUCCGCCUGGGGAGUACGACCGCAAGGUUGAAACUCAAAGGAAUUGACGGGGACCCGCACAAGCGGUGGAGCAUGUGGUUUAAUUCGAAGCAACGCGAAGAACCUUACCAAAUCUUGACAUCCUCUGACCCCUCUAGAGAUAGAGUUUUCCCCUUCGGGGGACAGAGUGACAGGUGGUGCAUGGUUGUCGUCAGCUCGUGUCGUGAGAUGUUGGGUUAAGUCCCGCAACGAGCGCAACCCUUAAGCUUAGUUGCCAUCAUUAAGUUGGGCACUCUAAGUUGACUGCCGGUGACAAACCGGAGGAAGGUGGGGAUGACGUCAAAUCAUCAUGCCCCUUAUGAUUUGGGCUACACACGUGCUACAAUGGACAAUACAAAGGGCAGCGAAACUGCGAGGUCAAGCAAAUCCCAUAAAGUUGUUCUCAGUUCGGAUUGUAGUCUGCAACUCGACUAUAUGAAGCUGGAAUCGCUAGUAAUCGUAGAUCAGCAUGCUACGGUGAAUACGUUCCCGGGUCU